rnacentral:piRNA from 1 species
UGAAAAUCAAGUUCUCUAAGG